rnacentral:rRNA from 1 species
CGGGUGAGUAACACGUGAGUAACCUGCCCUUAAAUUUGGGAUAACUCACCGAAAGGUGGGCUAAUACCGAAUGUGACUUAUUUUCAUAAGUAGGUAAGUUAAAGGUGGCCUCUAUUUAUAUGCUAUUGUUUAAGGAUGGGCUCGCGUACCAUUAGCUUGUUGGUAGGGUAAUGGCCUACCAAGGCUACGAUGGUUAGCUGGUCUGAGAGGAUGAUCAGCCACACUGGCACUGAGACACGGGCCAGACUCC